AAUUGAUUUUGGCAACUAGUAAACUCGCAGUCUAUGGACUCUUUAAUCUUAGCUCUGCUUUACACUAGAGACAGUCCUUUUCACUGGGGUCACUCAUAUGGUUCAGGGCUGGAUAUUAGCUGUGGAACACUCAAUUUUGUACUCUAUCUGAUUGAGGGAAACCACUGGGUUUCUGCUGUCUUUCAUGUUGUCUUGUUAUUGAAUGGUCAAAUGGGAGGUGUGUUGCCUCCUUGGUCUUUGUAAAGCUUCUAUAGGACAGGUUGUAAUGGGCAUCCAUGCCACAUACUGGUCCAUCCUUGUUGACCUUCAUUAACUGUGCUUCUAAAUGAUUGCUUGUGAUAAUUUUUCCUUAGGAUCCUUGCUACCUCUGAACAGUAUAAUGGGUUAGAUAUCUUUUUGGACUCUUUGCCAACUUAAAAGAAGUUAGAUAUCAGCAGAAAAAAUUGAUAUUUUCAUUUACCAUUCCGACAAUCAAUUCAUAAUUAGGACAACCAACCAUCUUAGCUAAGCUAGUUGGCAUCCCUCUCCAUAUUGCAGCGGUCCAGGGUUUGAACCCCGGGACCGACAUCAAUAAUAUAUUAUUCAAACAAAUAUCUAGCGAACUUCAUAAUAGCCUUCAAAUUUAUAAAUGCCUAUACUUUUAUUCUCGAAAUAUUGAUUUUAUUGAGGGUGUUCGAACUGCUAAAUUGAUGGUUAGCUUGAUAACUUGCAGUAGUGCAAUUUCCAUUGGUGCCUGCAAGUAAGUUUCGGCUUAGUGCACAAGGUGCAAGAAUAGUUGGUGAAGGGGCCAUAUGCUUGGUUCUAUAACUCAAAUUCCUUGACGAGCUUGCUUCAGGCCAGGGACCUGCUCGGAUGUGUAAGAAAAAGAAUUACCAUAAAUUAAAAAGCAUGCAGUAAAGAAGUAAUACAUUAGGAGAAAAUUACAAGAAGAAUUUACCAUCCCUUUCAUUGUUCGAGAUUCUACAUGAAAUUCUACAAAAGAAAAGGUCAUCAGAAUUAUUUGUGCCGAAUAGCAACUAUGUGGAAGUUUGAAUAUUUCUGUUGCAAAACAAUCAUUAGCUAUUAUCGUCAUAAAGACAUCCACAUACGACUAUUAGGAGUGAGCUGUGAUUUACUUUUAGUUAGCUUUUAGAAAAGUGUGAACCAGAAAUUUACAGGGUGCACCUGAGUGCAUAUAUGGAAUGCCUCUAAUACUGAUCCAUCAUUGCUUUAUUUUAUAUAUGUAUAUAUGUGUAUAUAUAUAUAUAUGUAUAUAUGUAUGUAUGUAUAUAUGUAUAUAUGUAUGUAUGUAUAUAUCUAUAUAUGUAUAUAUGUAUGUAUAUAUCUAUAUAUGUAUAUAUCUAUAUAUGUAUAUAUACAUAUAUGUAUAUAUCUAUAUAUGUAUAUAUACAUAUAUGUAUAUAUAGAUGAGGUCUCUCAAUAUGCUAGUCCGCUAUGAACAGAGUAUAUAACAUGGAUAUAUAACAUGAUAUAUUAUAUUUUACAUGGGAUUAUCACGACAUCUAUGAAAAUUUAAGAGAGCAACUUAUCAAUCUAAAAUGUCAAAAAUAUCUAUAUUAGAAGGUACAAAUAUGUACUUUAUCAAAACUCUACCACUUUCCACAUCCUAAUUAGAUGCUCUUGAAAGAAAAUUAUAUUUCUAUCACUCCUUUUUGUUUUUUUGAAAGAUACUCAUUUAAGAAGUGAAGAAAAUAAUGUUAAUUAAAAUCAAUUAAAUUUAGGAAGAAUAAACUAAAAGAUUCGGCUAUGAAGAGAAGAAAUUUAUAAUGAGAUGAAAAUAAGAGAGUAACUUAAGAGAGAAAAAAAUCAAAGAAUAACCCUCUACAAUCAUACCCUCCAAAAAAUCACACAUUAGUAUACUAGGCCUUGUAAUUUGUUAAAGGAUUUAUCUGAAAUAUUCACAAUAUAACUUGGAAGGCGUUUCAAAUAUCAUGUAUAAGUCACUGUUCAUGCGAGUUUUGAUGUUUUAUGAACUAGGAUUGCCUCAGUUUUCACACCCCUCCAUCUAAAGAUUCUUUGUUUAGGUCCUGAGUAGUGUGUUUUCAAAAAGUUGAACCUAGGUAACUAUAAAAUAGGUAGGUCGCCCUUAUUUUCUCUCUAGAAAAAAAAAGGAGAAAAGAAUGAUGAGAUUUGGUAAAACAUCAUUUGUCAAACUAGUUGGUCAAUCUAUGAUCGCUCAUACUAUGGGCUGCUUCAACAACUCUCGACAUCUGUGUCGGAUGAACUCAAUGCUAUGGAGAGUAGGUUUUUAUGGGGUUCGUUGGUUCAGAUGGCAAAAAUUAUGUAAAGCCAAAAAAAAAAAACAGGAGGAUGAAACUUUCCAGAUCCAAAAGUCCUUAAUUAUGCUUUUCUAGCUAAGCAUGGUUGGCAUCUACCGCAAAUUAAUGCUUUCCUGAGCAUUCAAGUCGAAGUAUUUGAUUUAAGUUCUCUUCUUGAGGCUUAGCUAGGUGCUUAUCUUUUGUACGCUUGAAAAGGCAUAUGGGAAGUCAAAUUAAUUUUAAAAGUAUCUUGUAACAACCGAGGGUCUCAUCCAAAAUAACUAGCCGGAAGGUAUUUUUUUAAGCUCCUUAGUCCUGUAUAAGUAUCUAAGAUCUUCUCAGCAAAUAACUGAUGCGGGACUAAACAUACGCCAGCACGGAUCCUCACAUACUCUCCCUAUUCAAACUCUGACGUUCUUGUCAGACUAAGGGUUCUAAUCUAUUCAAAUCUAAUCACAAGCACCACGUCCCCUAGUCUAUAUAGGUAAUGGGCCGAGUUUGCUCUAAUACCAUUUGUAACAAUACAGGACUUCAUCUAAAAUGGCUAGCCGGAAGGUAUAUUUUUGGGCUCCUUAGUCCUGUAUAAGUACCCAAGAUCUUCUUGGCGAAUAACCGAUGUGGGACUAACACACACCUGCACGGAUCCUCAAAUGCCUAUUCUAUAGAAAUAGGCAAUGGGGAAUCAACAAGGAUUUAGGGUGAGGGACGGUUAUUAAUUAAGUCCAACCACUUCUAAUGCAACCUAUUCUCCCAGUGUAUUACCAAGAGACGCCCAAAGUAAGUGCUCUGAUUGACAUGAUACAAAUGUGUAGAAGCAGCAGUUUAAUCAGCUGCAUUGCUCAAACUAGCCGUUUUUCUACUGUUUGCAAUGCAUAUUAUAUGGCUCUUUUUUUUGUACUUAAACUAAAAUGUCUAAGAUAUUUUCUAGUUAGGUAGCAAGUAACACAAUUUGGUUCAAUUGCAGAGUAAGAUUUAGAGCACUAAAUCUCGGACAAAAUAAAACUAUUUAUAUGAAAGGUAGCAAAUGACAUCCUACUUGUCUUUUUGAAGAUAAAUGACAUCCUUCUUGUCAAGAACAACCUUCUAAGAGAAUAAAUAACUAGAGAUCUGAUUUAUAUGACAGGGAAAAUAAACUACAGUGCAUGCAUCAAAGGAUUGUGAUCUUGUACGGAAGAUUUGGUUCCUCUCCUAAAGCUGCAUUUGGAAGUCAAACAAGUGGGUGUAAGUCAUUUAACCUACUUAUUCCACCCUUUUUCAGUUCAAUACUCCUUUGAUUACCUGGAUUAAAUCACUUUUCAAAAAUAGCAAAAUGGGUAUUUCUAGUAAGUUGGAAUACAAGCUUUUGCCUUCCAAAUGCAUCAUUACUACAUAUAAAAUGGAGUAACUUAUUAUCUAGUAAAGAAGAGUAGGGGUAACUUAACUCAUUUAUUUGAGGCUAAAGUAUUUUGCUUCCAAACACAGCCUCAAAGAAUUAGGACUCUUUGAAUUAAGGCUCCACCAUUUGUGAGUUGGAAUGAGGAAAUGGUUAAGCCUAGCAUUAUUAUUAUUUGUUUUUUGAUAAGUUUAUAGACACCAAGUAAAUGCAUUACACAAUGCAAGGAAUUUUGUCUGAGUUUAAAGAGGACCAAGAGCAACUCCCUUAGAUUUUCUCCUUAUACUCUAAUAGGAAGUGAUGUGUGGUAGAAGGUAGGUGUACAUGGAUAGAUUUUCUAUCAUUAUGAGAUUAGAAUUGUUGUUAUAGAUAGGCAUGGUGAUUUAUGGUUGAAGCAUCAAUCUAAAAUUUCAGUGAGAACAUUGUCAAGCAGAAGCUUUAAAUGCUUUGUCAUGGAUUGAGUUUUUUCCCAAGAAAGCUUCUUCUUUGGAUGAACUCAAAAAGAUUUAUUGGUUGGUUAACAUAUGUAGCAUAAUACACACACACACACACGCAUGCGUGCACACGCACACAAAGAGAGAGGGUUAGUGAGUGAGUGAGAGAGAGAGAGAGAGAGGGAACUAUGUUCAUAAAGAUAAUAACAAACUGUAUCAUAGCAAAGUAAUCAUAUAUGCAUAAAUCAUGCAAGUUCGUAAAGUUGAACAUGCAAUUUAAAAUAUUCAUUAUCAUCAAAUGUUUGCCAUUUAUCCAUACUUUUAUUCAAAACAAUGCUCACAGAUUUUUUGCGCUACGGCCACUACCCAUGACAGGGCCAUCUUCGUAAUCGACAAGAUAUUAUAGUUUAUAUCCAUUACCAACUAUAACCCUUUGGUAGAUGGUCAUUUUCGUUGGAUGCUAGCUCCAUAGUGUUGAUUGGUCUCCAUUUCUAGAGGCGGUCAUAGCUAUUUGAGAGCUCGUAAACUAUUUCAUAUUUUUAUAAAUCAUACCUUUAUAAAUAGGAUGAAAAUGCUAAAUGGCAUCACAAAAGUUUAAAAUACAUAAUUAUAUAUAUCAUUUUCAUGCAUUUUUUUAUAAUCAUAUUUUAUACAUAAAUCAUUUACAAUAAAGUAUUCAAUAAGCAUGAUAUUUAGCCUAAAAUAUAGAACAUUUGCAAUUAUAUGCUUGAUCCUAAAUUUUUAAGAAAUUAUAGGAUCAAUCAUAUCAAAUAUAAUUCAUAAUUUUAUACCUAAAUUUGAUCGAUAAUUUAAAAUUAAUAAGGUUUGUACCAAGGUCACUUACCUCUGUUCUUUUAAAAAUCAUUAAGUUUAGAUGGGUAAAUUCGCUGCACCUAAAAAUCGUUUAAAAAGAAUAAAUUACUUGCUAUUCACUAUUUAAAGUUUAAAUAUAAAUUAAAAAUCUCUAAGCAACUCAAAAUAGACUCGAGCAGGCUUCAAGUUCCGACUAGGUAAAUAAGACUAGUAUAUACAAAUCAGGUAGAGAGAUGGUUGGUUGCACCAAGGGUGAAACCUUUCUCUCAUUUUUUAUAUAUUUAUUUAUUUAUUUAAUUUUUUUCUCUAUUCUUUUUUUUUGUUUUCUCUUCUUUCUUUUUUUCUUCUUUUUUUUUCUCUUUUUUUUUCUUUCCUUCUUUUUUUUUCCUUUCUUCGUCAUCGCCCUUUCCUUCUUUUCUUUAGCAGAGAGAGGGGCAAGUCUGAAGCCACCCCACCAAAAAACAAGAAAGGGGAGGAAGGGACCUCCGGCUCGACGACGAGGGUGGCUGAGGACCGGCAGCAUGGUGGAACGACCACCAUGUAUGGGGUCUUCCUCUUUUCUUUUUUUUUCCUUAUCCUAGUGACUUUGCCGAAUUCCAGCCAUAUUUUGCUGGAUUCCAGCCAUUGCCGGGUUGAUCGGGAGGAGGGAGAGACAGUGGAGGAGAUGGAGACCUUACUUUGCUCCAAGGAGGCGUUGCGACCGUGAUUCCGGUGGCACGAAGACAGGGCACGGUGAGCCGAAGAAAGACAAGAAAGAGGAGACUAUUUCAACAAGGCUAAGCAAAGGAAAGAAGAGGAAGGAAGAAAGGGAGGGAUAGGAGAAGGGAGAAAGAUGGAGGAGGAAGAAGGGCUUGGCGGCCUUGGCAAACAGGGAAGGUAAGAAAGAGAGGGAGGAGACCGCAGAUUUCGUGAUCUCCUCGCGCUAUCCUUCCAAAAAUUGGAGGUUCGCUAGCGAG
rnacentral:lncRNA from 1 species